CUCUUCCAUCCAUAGAAACCCUAAAACCCCUCUGAGCACCUUUUGAUGCUUGUUUCCCUUACGUAUCAGGUACAAAAGUCAAAGGACUCAUUGGUUUCCGGGCCAAUUUAGCCUUUGAAACCACCUUCCAUUUAACCUCCGAUGACUUUCUUUCAUUUUCAUCACCGGUUUUCACUCUCUUGUUCGGCUUACAGGAACAAGAAACGCGUUCGUGUUUGUGUUGCCAAUUCCGAUACUUCACUGGAAUCCAAAUCCCGGGGUUCGAUUUCUCUCACGUUCACAAUAUUUCUAUCUAUUAAUUCCUAUAAAAAUUGCGGCACCUCUUAUUUUGCUAAUCCGUCUCUCUCAAAAACCCUAGUUUACCAUCGUUCUUCCCUCUUCGGCGAUCUCAUCUAAAACAUCGUUCUUAUAGUCACUAACUAUCAUCUUUCUCAUAGCGUCACGAGAUCCGGACAUUGAAGGAGGCGAAGGCGGCAGCCUCAAGAACAAUGACAGAACCAUUAACUCGGAAAUCUAUAGCUGGAAGAUCUGAAUCCCAAUCUUUUGUAGUUAGUGCAACAGAGAAAGUGAUUGAUGGAUCUUCUUCAACUAAGCAAUUAGAAGCUCUUGAUGCAGAUUCUGAACAUUCCAAAAUAAAUCUUGAUGAAGAACAACUUGAUGAAAUAAAUGAAAAGGAUUUUGUUGCUUCACCAAUUCUUGUUGAAGAUAUUGCAGCUAUGGAGGAAGUAGAUUUAGUUUCUUUAUUUGAUAUUGUUGUAUCUUACAUCCAUCUCUUCCUUUAUAACAUUUUAUUUCUUAAAAUAUCUUCAGGUUGUUUGAUCAAAUAAGUCAUUUAUGGAGGCUUUUGUUGAUGCAUCAUUUUAAAAGGGAAUGUUGGAACACACAACUGCAGCUCUUCAGCAAACCGAGUCAACUCAUUUUUGUUCUGUGAUGAAUUAUAUUGACUCAAUCGACGCGUAUGGUCCCAUCUGGUGAAUGGUCUGUUAUCUUCUUUAGAGAUUGAUAAUCAUGGGGGGUUGGCUAGGGAGCACAUGCCUGGUAGAUACGCAGAGCUAGAUCAGUAUUGGGGGAGUCGCAAGUCAUGGGGCCCCGUGCAGAGCUGGGCUGAUGAAUUUUCCCAACAAUACGGUGGGGACCUGAAUGUUUGGGCUUUAUCCUUAAUCCUUUGAAUGACAAAUUGGUGCUGGGGGUUGGGCUUCUGAAUUCCAGCAUUUGAAGAAAGAACAUAGCAAGUAUGAAGCAUACAGUCAAGAAAUCAACAAGAGUAGGAUUUAGUGCUUAAAGAUGAUACUUCCAAGUUCAGGGAAUCUAAAAAUUCUCCUUCUCAUCGUGCUUCAGUUCUUAAAGAUGAUAGCUUAUCUUCUUCAAAUGAUGUUUCCAGUAACAAGAGUAGGAUUUCCCACACAUCCAAAUCUAGGGAAAUAAGUGCAUCACCAAAAGCUCCGGAAACCAGUAGUAGACAUGCAUCUUAUGCUACAAAGCCUGUGAAGGUGGAUGAUGAUAGCCAUAGGGAUAGGGCCACCGUUUCUUCACCCAAACUCACAGAAACUUGUCGUAUUAGAAGUGGAUCCAAGUCAUCAAAAUCAAAAGUUGUUGACCAGGUCAAGCCCUCUAAGUCACUAGAGGGAUAUGCUUUCAAGGUCUGACUUGGAACCUUUCUUGUUUUAUAAGAGGUGGAAGGAGGGUGGAGAUUUCAAUCUUUGAUAUCGUUGUGGGUGAUGUCAUAACUCUUAAAAUCGGGGACCAAGUACCAGCUGAUGGGGUUUUGAUUUCUGGUCACUCACUUUCAGUUGAUGAAUCAAGUAUGAUUGGCGAGAGUAAAAUUGUUCAUAAAGAUCAUAAAUCACCAAUUUUAAUGUCAGGGUGUAAGGUGGCAGAUGGAGCAAUCAAUAUUUUCACUAUUGCAGUCACGAUUGUUGUUGUUGCGGUUCUAGGACUUCCAUUAGCUGUCACAUUAACGCUGGCAUACUCGAUGCAAAAAAUGAUGUCGGAUAUAGCGUUGGGUUGAUGAAAGCGAAUAGCUCUCGAGUUAGAAGUGGAAAAGAAAGCUCAAGCCGAAAGAGAUAAGAUGCUGAAAAUGCAAGUGUUGUAUUCUUCAUUUCAAUUGUUAGUAUGAAACAUAGAGUAGAUUAGAUGAAUGCAAAUUUAUAUAUUGUAAGAAAUAGAAUUGUAUGACAUUAAAGUUUAUUCAAUGGAUUGUAUUUUUUUUUGUA